AUGGAUGCGAUAAUCACACGAGGAGAGAAAAACCUGCGCGCGCAUAUAAUAGUAACACAAUGCCGCAGGCACUGCCUGCUGGCGCUCUACGGAGCUUGA